rnacentral:rRNA from 1 species
AGCGAACGCUGGCGGCAGGCUUAACACAUGCAAGUCGAGCGGGCAUCUUCGGAUGUCAUCGGCAGACGGGUGAGUAACACGUUGUAACUUACCCUUCUGUUCGGAACAACUCUGUGAAACUUGAUCUAAUACCUUAUACGCCCUUAUGGGUAAAGGUUUACUGCCUAAGGAUCGUCCCGCGUCUGCUUAGCUUGUUGGUGGGGUAACGGCCUACCAAGGCGACGAUCAGUAGCUGGUCUGAGAGGAUGAUCAGCCACACUGGGACUGAGACACGGCACAGACUCCUACGGGAGGCAGCAGUGGGGAAUAUUGGAAAAUGGGCGGAAGCCUGAUCCAGCCAUGCCGCGUGAGUGAUGAAGGCCUUAGGGUUGUAAAGCUCUUUUGUCCGGGACGAUAAUGACGGUAACGGAAGAAUAAGCCACGGCUAACUUCGUG